UCUGGUGCCUGGGACUUUGGAGUUAGUGUUACAUUUGCAGCAGCCGAAUUCUGUGGACUGGGGCCAAAAAGGUUGGGCUGAAGUCUUCUUCAUGAACUGAACUGUGACCUGGCUCCAAAAUCCUAUUCAGAUGGGUUCAUUUCAGCCAUUCUUGUGUGCAAGAAACAGAGGAGCCUUCUACCCUGCCCUUUAUCAGAGGAUCUGAUUCCAGAUUCCACAUUGGAGAGAAGGAUAUUAGAGGCAAAGACCCUGACAAACGCUGGCUCUUUGGCUUAGAAAUGGAGAUGAGCACCAACCUCUGGAGUUGGACACUACUUAAGGAGAGGAACCCUUGGAAAGGGUAUGCAGGAAAGAUGGGGAACAACUGAGGUGGAAUUGUUCUUUUGCUCAUGGGACCUUCCAGAGUCAGGUGGCCAGAGAACAAAUAUAUUGUGACAACCGUUUGGCUGCAGUAAACUUCUCGUUCCUAAGAAAAGAAGGUCUAGGCUGCCUGAGGGUCCUGCGUCCUAAGUUUGUGUGUGGACAAACUGUGGCUACUUAAAGAAAAGAGAAAGAUACUUCCUACGUACAUAAGCAUACUCUUUUUUAUUCGUACUUUCCCUAUUUACAGAAAAAGGCAGUCAUCAUGUGGGAAUGCUUAAGCACUUAGUACAUGCUCAGAGUUGUUUUGUUGUUUCAUAUGUCUGUAGUAUGUAUAAAUAUGUGAGAGGAAGUCAUAGGGAGGAGGGAGCAAGCUUGUUUUCUGCUUCCCUGGAGACUAGGACGCGGAACAAUGGCUUCAAACGACAAGAAAGGAGAUUCCAUCUGAACAUGAGGAAGA